CUGUACCGCCGGAACAUUGUCCGGCGGUACAGUCCCUAGGACCCAAGCCCACAAAGCGGGGGUCCUGUUUUGAAAACGUAUAUAUGACCAGCAGGGGCAUCCGGGCUGGUACCCGGACUAUCUGCGGGGAUCGGUGGCUUGAAGUCGCUGUGUAUGACUUCGCGCCAGAGAUUCCACAGGUGGAGUCCCCUUACCGAGGGUGACCA
rfam:Pseudomonas denitrificans ATCC 13867, complete genome.